GGUGUGGGGCUGGGCGCGGCAUCCCAGGGGUGGCCUGGCCUGGCCUGGCCGCGCGCCCUGGGGGUCACGUCGCUGCCCUCCCUCCCCCCCAGUGUCACGAGGGUCCCCAAGGAUGCGCCCGGCGGCUUCAUCGGGAUCCGCGUGCCCGCAGCGCCGGGCCUGGCCCGCCCGCCCGCGGAGGUGGAGGCCCAGAGCUUGGCCUGCCUGAGGACCCGGCUGCCUCGUGCCCCCAGAUAAAUGGCCACACCUGAACAUUUACAAAGGCACUUCAUUCAAAAUGUAAGACUGCUCCUCUGCCAGAAGAGUUGUCAAGAAAGCGUCUGCAUUCAUUAGAUGCUGCAGUGUGCUUCAUGGGGUUUGUAGGAUGCUUGACAGGAGAAAACUGCUGUCCAUAGAUGAUGAAUUUCUGGGUACGUAAUGUGAAUAUGAGCAUGUCACUUCCCUUGAAUGACAACUUGAGCUAACUGUAUUGUUUUUAACUUUUGCAUGGUCCUCAAUGUUUCAGAAGUUUUGUUUUUGAAUAAAUUAUUCUUAAAACUGUG